AGAGGAGGCACAGAUGGCUGAGGCAGGAUGCCUGCCAGCUUUUUCCUCACGCCAGGAGUCAGGAUUUCCUGUACCAUGCUGAGAAGAAUUGGCAUGUGAGUGGAACCAGCAGCCUACAGUCCCACUCAGGUCUGUGUUCGCUUCAGCCGGAGGUUAGACAGGACCUGCAAAAUGAAAUGGUCAAGAACAAAGAGACGGACGCCAAGUAGAAUCCUAUCAAGGCAUCACUUUACUAGGGGGUGUUUUGAGCUCAUAUAGGCAGAUUCAUACAGUGAGACCCCUGCAAGCAGAAUAGAUGCUGAGUAUACUAACCAGGAAGGAGAUGGAUGCUCACUCCAACCACGGACCACUAAAAAUAACUAAAUAGAUGAAAAGUCACCAAGUCCGAAGAUUAAAAAGGAGCUUUGUGGCUCUGUGCUACAGAGCUCUGGCAAAGUUGGCAAGUCUUCUCUGCAAACCUGAUAGAAGUUGGAGUCGGUAGAAGUGAGCUGUUUACAAAACACCUGUGGACAUUGAUUGAUGGGCGUUCCUGGGACGUACUUAGUCGGGAAGAGAAUGGAAAUGUAUCAAAGUCUUCCUUGGGGGAAUUUCCCCGGACCUUGGCUGUUUAGGGUUUGCCUGACUCCUGUUGUAGAAUCAGAAUGCUUAAAGGACGGUCAAGAGAAGAGCCGUACAUGAAACCCAUGGGACUUGAUAACCUGUGUGCGCUUCAUUGACUCUUCCAAGUGAUGGUUGCCAAGAUCGAUACAGAGGCCAUCUUGCAAGAGAGACCAGGGCUUAGGGAAAUCGAGGCACCAGCAGAGCCUGCUCCCCGAAUGCAUCCAGUCUCCUGCAGCCGCGGUUUGCUAACUCCAGAGCUGCUCGAAUUUGCUAAUCAUAGCGGUCAUUGCCUGAACCUCUAGAGAUUUUUUUUUCUUCGCAUCAAAAUGAAGGGAACAUGCCCCCCUCUCCUGGUUGUCUUGUGAAUAGACACCGAGCCUAGUGA